CCCCUUGCGAAGCUGCUGGCGCGGCGCGUUCCGAGGCUUCGGCUCUCCCAGGCCUCUGCGCCCCAGGCUUGGCGCGCUCCCCGGCGUCCCUCGCUCUCCCAGCAACUGCGGGAUCUGCAAACCUGGCGGCCAAUCUUCAUCGUUCCAAACCAUUGGGAGAGGCCCACCCACUCCUAGAGCAGGCCCGGCUCCCAGAAGCCUCGCCCUGGCCCAACCUCGGUCCUCUGUUUGACUGGAAAGAAAGAUCAGACUCUGUUCACCAGCAGGUCCCACCCUAAUCAAGAUUCCAGAAAUUUGGAGAUCGAAGAUUUAAGGGAAAGUGUUGUUUUAAAGUAUCUGACAUACUUCAAAGAACAAUGCCAGAAACUUAAAAGGGCCUGCACAGGGGGGCAGGAGCCCUGGGUCUUGAUUGCCCUCUGCCAGGAAGACAGAUGCAGCUAAAGAUGAAUGUGGGAAAAGUAGCCACAUGCUGCUUUCACCAUGGAGAAGCAGGCCCCCAGUGAGAUGGGAAUAAUCCCGUCUGAGUCUCCCUCCUAUAUUAAAUUGCUGAUUGUCAACCGGGAGCUUCUGGUCACCCACAUCCGCAACACUCAGUGCCUGCUGGACAACCUGCUGAAGAAUGACUACUUCUCAGAGGAAGACUCAGAGAUUGUGUGUGCCUGCCCCACCCAGCCUGACAAGGUCCGCAAACUUCUGGACCUGGCACAGAGCAAGGGUGAGGAGGUGUGUGAGUUCCUCCUUUACGUGCUCCAGCAGCUUGCGGAUGCCUAUGUGGACCUCAGGCCUUGGCUGUUGGAGAUUGGCUUCUCUCCUUCCCAGCUCAUUCAGAGCAGAGUUGUGGUCAACACCGACCCAGUGAGCAGGUACACCCAGAAGCUACGGCAUCACCUGGGCCGAGACUCCAAGUUCAUCCUGUGCUAUGGCCAGAAGGAGGAGCUCCUGCUGGAGGAGGUGUACACAGACACUAUCAUGGAGCUGGUCAGCUUCACCAACGAGAGCCUGGGCCCUCUGGGCAGCCUGGCUGGCCUCCUGGACCACUCCACAGGCAUCCUCAAUGAGCAGGGUGAGACUGUGUUGGUGUCUGGCGACGCCGGGGUGGGCAAGUCCAUGCUGCUGCGGCGGCUGCAGGGCCUCUGGGCCUCAGGCCAGCUGGACACUGGCAUCAAGUUCUUCUUCCACUUCCGCUGCCGCAUGUUCAGCUGCUUCAAGGACAGCGACACGCUGUGUCUGCAGGACCUGCUUUUCAAGCACUACUGCUACCCGGAGCAGGACCCCGAGGAGGUGUUCGCCUUCCUGCUGCGCUUCCCCCACACAGCCCUCUUCACCUUUGACGGCCUGGAUGAGCUCCACUCAGACUUCGACCUGAGCAGUGUGCCUGACACCUCCUCCCCCUUGGCACCCGCCCACCCCCUUGUCCUGUUGGCCAAUUUGCUCAGCGGGAAACUGCUCAAGGGGGCCACCAAGCUGCUCACAGCCCGCACAGGCAUCGAGAUCCCACGCCAGCUCCUUAGGAAGAAGGUGUUUCUGCGGGGCUUCUCCCCCAGCCACCUGCAGGCCUACACCCGGCAGAUGUUCCCUGACCGGACGCUGCAGUCCCGCCUGCUGGACCAGCUGGAAGCCAACCCCAACCUCUGCAGCCUGUGUGCAGUGCCCCUCUUCUGCUGGAUCAUCUUCCGCUGCUUCCAGCACUUCCACGCCACCUUCGACACCACCCUGCAGCUGCCUGACUGCAAGGUGACACUGACUGAUGUCUUCCUGCUGGUCACUGAGGUCCACCUGAACAGGACACAACCCACGAGCCUGGUGCAGCGCAACACUCGGAGCCAGGCAGAGACCUUCCGCUCUGGCCAAGGGAUGCUGCACACGCUGGGCCAGGUGGCCCACCAGGGCAUGGAGAAGAACCUGUUUGUCUUCAGCCAGGAGCAGGUGCAGGCCUCCCAGAUGCAGGAGGGGGACCUGCAGCUGGGCUUCCUGCGGGCCGUGCCGGAGCUGGGCCCCGAAGGGGAGCAGCCAUCCUAUGAGUUUUUCCACAUCACCCUCCAGGCCUUCUUUACAGCCUUCUUCCUCGUGGUGGAUAACAAGGUGGGCACGCAGGAGCUGCUCAGGUUCUUCCAGGAGUGGGCACCUCCUGGGGAGGCGGCAGUAGCCUCCUGCUUUCCUCGCUCUCUCCCUUUCCAGUGUCUGGGGGGCAGUGGCCUGGUGGGGGAAGACCCAUUCAAGAACAGGGACCACUUUCAGUUCACCAACCUCUUCCUGUGUGGGCUGUUGUCCAAAGCCAAACAGAAACUCCUGCGGCACCUGGUGCCCGUGGCAGCCCUGAAGAGAAAGCGCAAGGCCCUGUGGGCACACCUGUUUGCCAGCCUCAGGUCCUACCUGAAGAGCCUGCCCCGAGUCCAGGUUGAGGGCGUCAGCCAGGUGCAUGGGAUGCCCACCUUCAUCUGGAUGCUGCGCUGUAUCUACGAGACGCAGAGUGAGAAGGUGGGGAAGCUGGCGGCCAGGGGCAUCUGUGCCAACUACCUCAAGCUGACCUUCUGCAACGCCUACUCAGCCGACUGCAGCGCCCUCUCCUUCGUCCUGCACCACUUCCGCAAGCGGCUGGCCCUCAGCCUGGACAACAACAAUCUCAAUGACUACGGCGUGCAGGAGCUGCAGCCCUGCUUCAGCCGCCUUACAAUCAUCAGACUCAGUGUGAACCAGAUCACUGACAGGGGGGUGAAGGUGCUAUAUGAAGAGCUGACCAAAUACAAAAUCGUGACAUUUUUGGGCUUGUACAACAACCAGAUCACGGAUGUGGGAGCCAAGUACGUUGCCAGAAUCCUGGAGGAAUGCAAAAGCCUCGCGUACCUUAAGCUAGGACUAAACAAAAUAACAAGUGAAGGAGGCAAGUGUCUCGCCCUGGCUGUGAAGAACAGCAAAUCAAUCUGUGACGUUGGGAUGUGGGGCAAUACAGUUGGUGAUGAAGGAGCAAAGGCCUUUGCAGAGGCUCUGAGGAACCACCCCAGCUUGACCUCCCUGAGUCUUGCAUUCAACGGCAUCUCCACAGAAGGAGGAAAGAGCCUUGCGCGAGCCCUGCAGCAGAACACGUCUCUGAGGAUACUCUGGUUGACCAAAAAUGAACUCAAUGAUGAAGUGGCAGAGAGCUUGGCAGAAAUGCUGAAAAUCAACCAGACUUUGCAACAUUUAUGGCUUAUCCAGAACCAGAUCACAGCCAAGGGGGUUGCCCACCUGGCAGAUGCAUUGCAGGAGAACACCGGCAUAACAGAGAUUUGCCUAAAUGGAAACUUGAUAAAGCCAGAAGAGGCCAAAGUCUUUGAAGAUGAGAAACGCAUUAUCUGUUUGUGAGAGGAUGUUUUCCUAGUUGCUGGGCUGUGUGUGUUGUGAAGACAAUGUCUGGAGUCAGCAGAAGAAAGAACAAGCAGAGGACUUCGGGGAGGGAAUGCUCCAGAAGCAGUGGAGAGUUUGGAGUCAGAUCCAGGUUCGAAUCGAGGCCUCACUACUUGCCAGCCCUAAGACUCUGGACAUAUUUGACUCAAACUCUCAGAGCUGGCCAUGGGACGAGUGCUUUACGUGUUGCUGCACUGAACUCUUCACAGCUAGCUAAUGGCAGGCCUGGCUCUGCCUGAACCUGUGGCUUAAGAAAGCACUUUACCUUCCUCUCUACGAUCCCGCCUCCCUGUACUGAUUAAGCCCUGCACGCUAGGUACUGUGCUGGAUGUUGGUAAGUUUCAGACCUUCCCCAGGAAUUCAGCUAGAGGGAGAGACAGAGAACUAAGUCAUUAACCAGGAAGGUAAGUGCCAGUAGAGACACGUGUUCCAUGUUCUGGACGCACGGAAGAGUCAGGUAACGCUGAUGCAGUGGCAGGGUCCAAUCUUCCAACACAUGGCAGAGUUCAAAACAGUUAAUGAGAAAAAAAUCAAGGAAAAAAUUUUUGAGCUAUUUUGAUAUUUGUUAUUUGCCAAAAGGCAACAAGUAGUCAUAGGGAAAAUCAGAUCUUGUUUAACAUCCUUGCACUUACUUUAUAAUUUACUAUUGUUUUUUAAAUUCAGAUAAUUGGGGGCCCAAAACCCUUUUAGGGUUUAGUGCAUCUAAAAGUCUUACUCUGGUCUUGGGUUCAGUUAGUUCCAUUUUAAGGCAGAGAGAACCAUGCUGUGAUGGCCCCUGGGCCCUGCAACUCUGCCAAAAGUCCAUGCUUCACCCUUAAACUGUUACACUCCUUAACUUUACUGGUUAAAAUAGAUGGUAAAGGGAGUAAAAUUUCGCAGCAAGAAUCUGCUUGGUGACAUGAGCUUUGGGUUCCUCAAGAGCCAAUUCCACUUUUAUUAAAAUUCUCCACGGACCUGUGAUGAUGAUCAUGGUUUUGCCUUUCAGCUCCAUAGUAAGGUUUUUUUCUGGAGGUGAACAAUUUGUUACUGGAAACAGACUUGUGCCAUACCUGAAAGUGGGCCAAAAUAUCGAUGAGCCAAAUGCUCUUUCCUGGUUCAGGAGCUGAGGGGAACCGGACAGCUGGCAGAGGCUUUUGGGCCUGGCUUUGUGUGGUGGUGCUGGCCUUGGCGCUGUUCUUUACUGUGCAAUGAAGAAAUGGGUUCAUUCCCCAGUAUGCAGCCAGCUGGCACUUAAAUGGAAGUGCCUCUUUGGUAACGAUGAAAAUUAACGGGCCAGGUUUUUCACUGACAAAGCUAGGAUAUUGCGGGAAGCUUGAUGUUGAAAUGUUUGAGCUUUAUUUCAAGAACUUCCAGCCACAUAUUUGACCCAGCUGGAAGUUCCCUAAGCUAUAGUUACUAGCCAGGGCCUAAUCUUUACACAUGUGUGUGUGUGGUCAGUGCCCGACACUGUCUAGGAUGAGGACCGGGACAGAGUUUUAUUCUAUUGAAAGGAGACGCUACUGACUUCACAUGUACAUUGUUCUCUCCCAGCUGCGGGAAGGAAUUUAUAAAUUCAUACGUUGGGAUCUGUUUUAAAGUGGCAAAGUGCCACUAACACUUGUGUGCAGGUGUCAGUAUUUUCAAAAUCAGUUUCCCUUGAUUAAAAAAAUUUAUGUAUGUGUGCGUGUAGGAGCCCUGGUGGCACAACAGAUAAACACUCCAAUGCUAACUGAAAGGCUGGGGGUUUGAACCCAUCUAGCAACUUUGCGGGAGAAAGACCUGGUGAUCUGCUCUCGUAAAGAUUACAGCCUAGGAGACCUUACAGGGCAGUUCUCUGUCACGUGGUCACUAUGAGUCAGAAUCGAUAGGACGGCAACCAACAACAUGUGUUCAUGCUUUGCCUAAACAAAUCCAGCCUAUCUGAUCGUAUGGAAACCACUUCCUCACAAUCACCUAUGAAGUAGGAAUUAUUUCAAGAAUGAGGAAACUGAGGACUAGUGAAUAUGAAUAUGUAUCUUAUUACAAUCAGUGUUUUAGGGAUUCAGUGCUGCUAUAAUGGAAAUGCCACAAAUGGAUGGCUUUAACAAAGAGAAAUUUAUUUUCUCACAGUUCGGAAGGCUAGAAGUCUGAAUUCAGGGUGGCAGCUCCAGGGGAAGGCUUCUCAGCACAGGGACCCCAGGUCCAAAGGACAUACUAUGCUCCUGGUGCUGCUUUCUUGGUGGUAUGAGGUCCCCAGGUCUCUCUGAUGGCUUCUCUCUUUUAUAUCUCAAAAGAGAUUGGCUGAAGACAGGACCUAAUCUUGUAGAUUGAGUCCUGCCUCAUUAACAUAACUGCUGCUAAUCCCACUCCAUUAACAUCUUAAGAGGUAGGAUUUACAACACACAUGAAAAUCACAUCAGAUGACAAAAUGGCGGACAAUCACACAAUACUAGGAAUCACGAUCUAGCCAAGUUGACACAUAUUUUGGGGGGACACAAUUCAAUCUGUCACAAACAGGAUGUGUAUAAAAAUGGGAAAAAAGAGCAAAAUCCUUCAGGAAAAGGAUCUUGGCAAAUGUAGAAUGAUGGCAUGUGGAAAGGACCUUAGAACUCAGCUCAAUCCCCUCAACUGACCAGUGAGGAAACUAGAGGCGGAAGGUCACAGGCUUUACUACUGAUAAAGCAAGAACUAGAACAUAGACCUUUGGCUGGUUUUAUUUUCCCACUGCUCUGACAGUAUUUGUGACCUCUAGUUGACUCUGCAAUUGACCUUCUUUGCACCACGCCAGUUAAACCUGGUUCUCAUCACCGAAAAAAAAAAAAAGGUUCUCAUCACCAAGGCAAGUUAAAUACAAUGAACUCUUCUUGUCCCAAGGAUCUCUUUAGUGUUCCUGGAAUUUCUUUGAGAAGCCUGAUCUCUCUGUACUAAAAGUUACAGAACUCUGGAGUCACGUUUAUAAGCCUCAAGUCAGGUGGCCAAGAAUACCCUGAAAGAUGGCUGGCAACAUCAGAGUCUGACUCUAGAGAGCCCAGGGUUUUGUCAGUGGCCAAACAUCCUACAUCCGCCAAUCAUGGCACUGGAUCAGAGGUAGGUGCAUUCCAGAGAGCGAUAGAAGGUCCUGUUUGAGUGAUUUUCAUCACAAGAGGGCAGCACGUGUCCAGUAGUUAAUCCAUUACAUAAGUGGACUGAGUGAUUGAACUGUGCAAGGGGGCCUGGUGACUGACACAUUGUUCUAUUCCAAUAAGACUCAAAUCAUAUUACAUUGUGUUAAGAACAAUUUUAUCUUAAACCAAUUCAUCUGUGAGUUCAAAGACACAGAGAAGUAUAGAAAGUUAGCCUGCAAGUACACUCUAAUAUGAGCAGUAUUACAGCAAGAUCCCUGGGCACUGAUGAUGUGGAUUCAGAUCCCAGCACUACCAGUAGCUGUGUGAUCUUGGACAAGUGACUUUGCCUCCUGUGCCAGAAUUUCCCAUCAGUAAAAUGGGGUCGAUGAGAAUGCUUCCUCGCAGGCUGUUUUGUUAUGAGGAAUAAAUGAGCUAAUAUAUGCAAAGCACUUAGAACAGUACCUGGCAUGUAGCAGGGUUCCAUAAGCAACUGUCUAUUACCUAACCAGACCUCUUUCUUCCAGCCCUGCCUUAGUGAGCAUCACGGAUAAGGCAGGAGAAAAGCGGAGGCCGUGCUGUGCCAGUCUUCCUACCUUCAAGAGCCUCUCCAAAACAUCAUUUUUAAAGUGAUAGCAAAGUCUAGACUUUUAAGCAGCCCAGAUACUACAAGCUGUUUCCGAGGCUGAAUACCUGCAGGAUAAGAACUAACCAUUCCCUAUAUACCUAUGGGGCAGCUCUACUCUGUCCUAUAGGGUCGCUAUAAGUCGGAAUCGACUCGACGGCACUGGGUUUUUUUUAUACCUGAAAUUGUCUUUUUUAAUUUUGUUAAGGGACUGCGUGUCCAGGUGACCCUGUCAUAUCCGGAAGCAUGGAUGGGGAAAUCCAAAAGCUUAUUUGCAUUUUGAUUUGAUUUCACAGAUGCUGGAGUAUAUUAUUCAGCUUUCCAUACUAAAACAACAUGGCUGAAGGUGGUUUCUUUUUUUGAAGUCAGCAUGUGGUUCUCUGUUUCUAGCAUUCUUUUCAUUCACUCAUUAACAUUGCUAGUGAUUCCCCUGGCUGUAAGAGAAAUGAAUGACGGUGUCUUGAGAGACAGCAGGAGAGAAGGCGAGAAGGGAGGGGGGAGGUAGGGAUAGAAUGGGAAUAAUAAGAAAGAGAAACAUGAGAACAACAAAAAAAAAAAAAAAAGGGAGGGUUGGAAGGGUGGAUUAACACCUGAAAUCCUGAUUUCUACCCUCCAUCAUACCCAGUAUUGCAGAUUCCAGAACACGGCCUAGUGUAGCUGGGGCCCUCAGCCCAGCACCCUGGGCAUGCUGAAGUUUUACGGAGCCAGUGGUGAGCCAGCAGCGUAUCACCUACUGAGUAGCUGUGGGCGACAGCCUGGCUGCCCAUUGCUGCUUUUGGAUUUUCAAUUGGAUUUUCACUAGGUGGUGUGAAGGAUUUUUUCUUUCUGCUGAAGACAGUGCACUUGGAUCCACCGGUGGUCAAUUGCACCCCAUUCACUUGAAUCCUCUGUUCUAGUGUUUCUCCAUGUUUUCACGAUUGUCCUCUAAGGAGACUUUUUAAACAUUUUUCUCAUGUCUCCUCCUCCCAAUGAAAUUUUAAUACCACAGGUAUACUGUGUUUCUGUUUCUAUAUGUACUGUGGCCCUUUGUAGGGCCACAAACAUUGUAAUAUCUAAGUUUUUUUGCCCCCAGGAACCAAUUUUCACCCCUUGGGGGUGAUAUCACGCCUGUUGAGAAUGUGUGAGCUGGUCAUAUCCUAGAUAAGUAUCAUCACCCUUGCCGUCUCCAAGAGCCCCUCCAUUACCCUGGAGGCUGCGUGACUUUCUACACAUUAUUCAGCUCCCAGUUCAAUAAAUCUUAAGAGUUAUAAGCUUAACAUUCUCAACUUAGGUUUCUUUCUUUUCACUCUUCUGUCCUGAAAACAGUUUUAAUCUACGUGCAAAAACUUUGCUUAUAUGUGAUCAGACACAUGCUGUUUUGUGCAAGGGAAAUAGUCCUUCGUAACACAGGCAGUUUGUGUCUGAGGCACUCUGGCCCAGCAGCUCUGUUGAUGAAUUGUGGUGACGUGACUCCACCUACUGCCACCAGGCCUCUGACAGAACUUGAGGCCCAGUUUGCCUCUGCUGUUGUUCCACUUCCCCUUCUCACUUCCUGUUUCCACCACCCUCACACCCACUCAAGGAGACCUAGGAAUGUCCAGAAUUCCCCUUUUGAAACAGAACCCAGGCCUCUGCCCAUCCCAGGCUGUGUACCUCCCACAUCAGCCCUCCCCAUUCCUCACUGCCGAAUUGAGCUAAAUAUCAGGACAUUACACGGACUGAAGUAAUUCAGAAUGAAACACAACUGUCUAAUAGCAUCACCCCUGCCAGAUAGGUAUUAUGUCAGACGAGCAGUCUUCAGAUCAAAAAGCUCUAACUAGACACAUAUAAGCAAAGAAGCUUCAGCCCAAAUUAAUCUUUGUGUCCCCUCAGUUGUAUCCCCCACAAUCCCAGAACAAUUCCAGAACGUGGUUGGCACUCCUGAAAGGGUUUGUUCCCUGCAGUGUCUUAAGUAGAGAUCAGCAAGUACAUCUAUCCAUCCAUUCAUUCAUUUUACAAAUAAAUAUUAAAUACCUACUUGUGCCAGGCACUAUGCUGACUGCUAGGAAUACAACGAUGUUUGGGAUUUGAUUUUACCCUACUUACAAGUUAAUAAGUUAGAUUGUUACUGUUUCAUGGACAUUGACACAACACAGGAGACUCCUGGGUCAGAGACAAAGGAAAUUAUAAUUCAGAGAACAGCAAAUGGCAUGCGCACCAGCAUGUUCGCACCAGCUCUCCAUGUCCCUAAGUUCCACAGAGACAGUUGUGAUGGGGCCCAGAAGGAUGUUACACACACAUCCAUGUGGUUAGGCAUCACAGCUGAAGAACGCUGAGCUUUCGGGAGCUUUCGGGAACUAUUUUAUAACAAGUAGUAAGAGAGCCUGCUCUUUGUCCUAGAUGGAGAAAUUACCUCAUGCCUCAAGGUUGUGUACUUCAAACACAGCCCUGAGGAAUGGCCUGGGUAAAGACUAGUGCUGUGUGAUUAAUUACUUUUGUGUGUGGUCUUGUAACUCCCACCCAGGUGAUUGUGUGAUAUGGUAAUUGUGGCCUACCAAGGGGAUUGGUCAGUUUCGCCUUAAAAGGGAGCCAAUUCCAGAGCAGAGAGGAGGAGUCUACCACCACCGAGGAAGGAGAUAUUCGGCAUCAGGUGAGUUUCCUGGCCCACAGACAGACAAAGCUGAGUGCCUUUGAGCAGAGACUGAGGGCCAGGGAGAGGUGUGCCUGACAGCACAGUUGGGAAGAGGCUGUCCUGAUGAAAGAACUGUACCCUGAGUGUUCCUGAGUCUGCCUUGUAACUGUUACUUCCCUAGUAAACCCCAUAAUCGUGAGAGUGGUCUGUGAGUUCUGUGUGGCCACUGCAAUGAAUAAUUGAACCCAGCAAAGAAGUAGAGAGUGUUGUGGGAGGGACGGUUGGUUGGUGUCAGAACUGGUAAAGAUGGUGGAGAGAGAACGCAUGUCUGACCUCCACCUCAUAGGAAUCAGCCUUGGGCUGUUGAUUUCGGUUCUCCUUCCCCCUUGUGAAGUUAGAGAAGGUCAGAUACUGCCCCAUGCUAUUUUUACAAGUGGUCAGCCCUUGCACUCUUGGCAUAGUAGUGGGAAUGCAUGGGAAUGCCUAGGGCCCAUGGCAGAUUGCCUCUCUCAAAAGUGGACCUCACAGCACUUACAGUCUAGUGGGGAAGAUGGAUAUUUAACCAAUAACCAGGUGGAUAAAUGUCAAAUUACAACCAUGAUGAGGGCCUUGAGGAGAGGUACAGGGGCUUUGUGGGCCUAUCCUAAGGAACACUUAUCUCCCUUGCAGCCUUGAUGGAUGUGAUCUGAAUGGGAGAAAGAGGAGGGGUCCAGACAGAUGAAACGGCAUGACCAAAGUCCCCAUGGCUGCAGGGAGCCUGGCCACUAUAACUGGAGCACAGAACAAAAGGAGGACUAUAUUAUGAGUGAGACUGGGAAGUAGAAGACAGGGACCCACUCCAGGAUUGGCCAGUGUUUCUUAAACUGUACGCUGGGCUUGUUAGCAGGUUGUGAAAGCAAUUUAGUGUACGCCCAAUUAAACUGGAGCUUAAAGGACAAACCUGGGGUGGUGAUAUAAAUUUGGGAUUCAACAGCAUACAGAUGGUAUUGAAGUUGUGAUCAUGGAUGAGCCAACCUAGGGAGAGAGCAUAGAGUGAGAAAACGGCCACAGACUAAGUCUUAAAGAACUGUGUCAUUUAAAGACAAGGCGAAGGAGGAUGAGCCCUCAAAGAAAACUAAGAAAGGCUGAAGAAAAAACAGGAGAGUAUGGUGUUGUGUGGGUCAGUGGAGAAUGAAACGGUCUCUUGAAUGUUUUUGAAAGGUCAGUCCUGAAGAAUUCCCAUGGAUUUAGUGACAUGGAGGUUACUGGUCCCUUAAAAGAGCUGUUUUAAAAUGACAACAAGGAAGCCAGGCUGGAGUGUGUUCAGCAGUAAUUGAGAGACGAGGUUAUCUUUCAAAAACUUUGAUGUGAAGAAGACAAAAUAGGACAGUAGUUCAAGGGGUAUGUGGAGUCUAGAGAGGGUUACUUUGUUUGACUUAAGAUGAGAGGGAGCUAAAUGUUGAUGGGAAAGAUAAGACCCAAGGGAGAGGUGAGUAUAGGAGAGGAUGUGAGGCUCCUGAGAAGGUAAGUUGGGAUGCGAAGCACAACACAGGUGAGGGAAUGGACCUCACGUAGGCAGAAGGGCUGCUCCUCCACUGUGUAACAGUCAGAAAGAAGCAUGAGAGAGCUGCAAACUAGACAGGUGUGUAAGGUUAGUAGUAGGACACUGAAACCACCAUCAAAUCCCAGGCAUAAUGUAAGACUUCACUGUUAAAUAAUAAUCUCUUCAGGACACAGAAAAGCAAAAAUAGGGCAGAACAUAUUUCUUCUAAAUUUGGAAAGUUUUUUAGGAGUAUUUUUGGCUAUUUCAAUUCCUUCCAUGUUUGAAGAGAAAAACAAAUAAAGGUAUUAAGUAACAAGCAUUGCAAUCUCCCCACAAUUUCCUCUCCCCAGGAGGAAGGCUCCAAGGUCCACCAUCAUUGAAUAGAAUGAAAGAAGCUGGGGAAAUCAAGAGAUGAUAAUAAUGACAGCAAACUCUACUACACAGGGCUCAGAAUAUACCAAGAUGCCUUCUAAUCAUUCCUAUAUACUCAUUUUUUUUUUCUUUCAUUUCUUAUAAUAACCCUAUGAAGUUGAGAAAACUGAACUACCAAGAGGUUAAAGGAACUUGUCCAAGGUCUCAGAAAAAGCGAGUGGCAGAACUGGGAUUAAAACACAGGCAGUCUUGCCUCUAAGUUUGUGUUUAACCACUUAUGCUAUGCUGCUGCUAUUAAUUAAGUACACAACAACAAAGCUAAUCCAUAGAUGAGGAGAGACAAGAGACCCUGCAUGGGAGACUGGGGAACAGCUUGGGGGACAAAGCGAGGGACAAAGGAAUAAAGAGAAAUACAGGAGAUAAAAUGUAUUUCCAUCCUUCCCCCAAAAUUCUAUUAUGAAAAAUUUCAAACCUAGAGUAACCUGAAAAACAGUGAACAUUCAUAUCCUCCAAGUGGUAUUAACCAGUAUAAAUAUUUUACCAUAUUUCUUUCUCACUAUAUGUGUUUGUGUAUGUACACACACACACACAUAUACACACACAUACAUUUUUAGACGUAUUUUUUUAUUUUAGUAUAGCAUUUGAAAGUAAGUUACACACAUUGUGAAAUUUUACCUCUCAAUAUUUUAGCAGGCAUCUUCUAAGAACAUAGACAAUCUCCUACAAAACCGCAAUUAUCACGGUAGUGAGAUUAACAAUACUUCUAUAUCAUCUAGGAUCUAGUACUUUUCAGAUUCUGGGGUAAGUGUAUUUUAAAGAGGUUUUGCUGGGUGUUACAAAUUUACUCUCCAUUUACUAUUUUCCCAGUAUAUUUAUUUAGGAUGUACUAGUAAAUAUUCCAUUCUCAUAUAUAGGUCUGAAAAGUAAUUAAAAAAUAAAAUCAAUAUGAUUUUUAUUAUAACCAACACUAAUAUUAGAACUUGAUUCAGGGGUUAUGAAACUGCUGCAUAACUGGGCUCUACUAACAAAUAUGCAACUAAGUAUGUAUGUGAAGGAUUUGCCUAAUUUGCGCUUUAGUACAGUAAUAUGUAUUGCAGAUUGUUAAUGUUUCCCGAUAACUCACAUUUCUCUCUACCCAUGUGAUUUGCAUUGGAUAAUGUUAACACUGGCAAACAGAUGCCAGCAGAAGCUUGAAAAGUACUUCUCCAUUACUCGGGCUUGUUCUCUCUUGCUGCUGGGAACCCCUCCACACCACCAUGUAAAUAAUUCCAGGCAAGUCUGCUGGAGACACAGCGCCUACUCAGCAGCUAGCACCAAUCACCAGAUAUGUGAUGAGGCAACGCUAGACCAACCAGCCCCCAGCUCACCCACCGGCUGACUAGCUGCAUGGUCUAUUUUAGCCUGGAAGUCCUACUGAAACCUGUUCUGCAUCAUAGCAACAUGCAAGCCUCCACUGACAGAUGGGUGGUAGCUGCACUUAAGGUGCAUUGGCCAGAAACCGAACCCAGGUAUCAAGCAUGGAAAGCAAGAAUUCUACUACUGAACCACCACUGCCCCUGGAUGGCCAAGACUUCGUCUCACAUCCUUUGGACAUGUUAUCUAUCAAGAGGAACCAGUUCCUGGAGAAGGACAUCACGCUAGGCAGACUAGAGGGUCAGCGAAAAAGAGGAAGAUCCUCAAUGAGAUGGAUUGACACAGUGGCUGCAACAGUGGGCUCAAGCAUAAUGAUUGGGAGGACGGGACAGGAUCGGGCAGUGGUUCGGUCUGUUGUACAGAGGUCCGCUAUGAGUCAGAGCUGACUCCAAGGCACCUAACAACAAUAUAUUAUUCUUCUAGAAUUCUCAGAAGUGUCAAGAUCCUGAAACAAGGAGGAGCUUCUGGUAGAUAAGAACCUCUGGUCAACAUGGGAUUUAGAGAAAACAUAUGAAGUGAGCGCUACUUGAGAAGUAAACAGAAUGUCCAGGGCCAUCACCAUGCUGGUGAAUAUUUUCUAGUGUUUCUAGGAAAGGUCACUGUUCUAGUUAUUGACUGGUGUGUAAUAAACUAUCCCAAACAUAGUGGCAUAAAAUAUCGAUAAUCAUGUACGGUCAUGUGCCACAUGCCCAUUUGGAUAAUAUCUGACUGCAUAUACGCCCCUGGUCCCAUAAGGUUGUAACAGAGUUUCGAAAUCCUGAUUGGAGAAUGGGAUGUAGUGGAUGUAGCGAAUGCAACAUCUUCCCACAUGUAACACAUUAAAAAACGUUUCCAGAUACACUAAAACAUCUUUAACAUAAUAACACAGUAGUAAUAAUGUUUCGACGCACACUGCCUGUUUGUUAUUAUGAACCAUUGUAGAUACCUCAAAUUUUAAUAAUAGGCUUUACGGGGGUUGGUUUGUAACUAUGGGUUGUCCGUAAGUCGGAUGUUGGUAACCCGGGCACUGCCUGUAUAUAAUAUGGUGUUCACACAAUAUCCAAAUCACAUAAUGUCCUAUUUCACAGAACGUAUCAUGGACGUUAAGUAAUGCAUAACUACCUUAUUCUCACAAGUAUGAGGGUUGACUGGACUCAGCUAGUGAGUUCUCAUUUGGGGUCUCUCAUGUGGUUGUAGUCAGAUGAGGGCUGGGGCUGAAGUCAACUAGAAGGCUUCCUCACUCACAUAUCUGGUGGUUGACAUGGUCUGGGCCUGCUCACAACAUGGAAGCUUGGUUCCAUGGAGAGCCAAACCAAGCUCUGGAGAUCACACAACAUCACUUCUACCAGAUUCUAUUAGUUAGGAAAGGUUAUAGUGCCAGCCCAUACUCAAGAGGAUGGAAUUUGGAAUUCCACCCCUUGAUGGGAGUAGUUAUCAAAAAAGUUGUGGACAUGAUUUAAAACAAGCACAGUUCAGCCUGGCUCCAGGACCGUGUCAUCCAAGUUGGUUCCAGACACAUCAGAGGCUCCUCAGGUAAAUUUCUUUGAGUACGGUUUCUUGCUAUCUUACGUAGUGUAAACUACAGGCAAGUUAUCUGCCUACCCUCCACACAGCCAAAGUACAAUGGUGUGACAGAGUAAGAAGACUACUAAAGAGACUUCUUUCAAAAGGGAGGAAAAUGGGAGGCACGCAUGAUCCAUAGCAAUUCUAAAAUUCAGUCGGGAUACUAAUCUCUGGGCAUGAGUCUCCAGUUUUCGGCUCUGUCCUUUCAGGUCUUGGUCCUGCCUUUUGAAUUAUCCUUCCUAUUCCACAAAAUGUAGCAGUGUCUUCAGUUGAUUCAUUUUGUUGGCUUCCUGCUCAUAGAAGUUUAGUGGCCCAAAAGCCUCUUUUCACUUUGCAUCAUUUCCACCCCUAUUAGUCCAAGCUGUGCCACGUCUGCCAAUAUAAUUCUCUUAAAAUUUGGGAUUUACUAUGAAUUAUAUUGGAGAUUUACUCCAUUAGACAAAGCCAAACCCAGAAAUCUCUUUGAGGCAAGCCUUUCCUACCUUGAACUCCCGGUAAUGUUGCUUUGGGACAAUGCCAUUAACCUCUUAGAAGCCAUUUUUUUUUUUUUUUUUUUAAACAGGAAGGACUUGUGAGGCACACUCUUAGAAGGCCGUUUGUCUUUUUCAAAAAGGGACUUUGAGGUACCACCUUGAAUCUUCCUGAAGUCUUCAAGUAACAUGUUUGGCUUCAUCUUUAGACAAUGUUUUUCUAACAAUCCCUGGAUUUGAUUUCUGUCCAGAAGCCAUUUCUUAAUUUUACCAUCAUUUGCUGUUUGGAGAGGCUGAGAAUGAGAAUGAUUAAAAAAAAAAAAAUCAGUCUUGGUUCCUUAAUUUAACAGUUUUUUAUCUUUCCAGAAGCCACAUGGCCCUUCAGUACUCUGCCUGGAUAUCUCAAUAGGUGGACACUGAAUUACUAGGUACAUUUCUUAUUUUUCAUGAUACUGCUGGUGACAGUGACAAAAACUCUUGUCAUUACAUACCAAGGGUCUCCUUUCCUCCAGCUUCUAAUAACAUUUUCCUAAUUUUCCUUUAAGCCCUCACUCACAGGCUUAUUGAGGCUAGUCUCCUCAAGGUUCUUCCACUUUCAACUGUUGCUCUAUCUCAAAGCCAAUGCCAGAUUUUAGGUUUCUGUUACGGGACAUCCUACUUCAGGUAGCAAAAUCUGUUCUGUGUAUCCAUUGCUAAAUAACAAACCACCCCAUGAUCUGUUACAGUACUGGAGUUUGGGCUCAGCUAGGAGACACUGAAGGAGUCCCUGGGUGCUACAAAGGCUAAGCACUUGAUGACAAGCUGCAAGUUGGUGGUUUGAACCCAUGAAAAGGCGCCUUGGAAGACAGGCCUGGUGACCUUCUGAAAGGUCACAUCCGUGAAAACCCUAUGGCGCAGUUCUACUCUGCACACGAGGUAGAUGGCAACUAACAACAGUGAUUUUCACUCAGGGUCUCUUAUGAAAUUGUGCUCAGAUGGUAGCUGGGGUUGCAGUCUUGAAAGCUUCCUACUGACAUGACUGGUGGUUGAUACUAUUGGCUGGGACUUCAGGGAGGGCCGUUGGCCCAAAUGCCUACAUGUGGUCCUCAAUGAGGCCUGGGCUUCCUUAUAGCAUGGCAGGUGUAUCCUAAGAGCAAACAUCCCAACAGACAGCCAGGCAGAAGCUAUAUUGCUCUUUCUAACCUAGACUCAGAAGUCACAAAGCAUUACUUCCACUGCAUUCUAUUAUUCAAGAGGAGGAGAAUAAGACUCCACUUUUGAUCUGAGGAAUGUCAAACAAUUUGUAGAUAUCUAUAAGAACCCCAGAGCCUUUCUUCAGAAUCAAAAGCCACUUGAGGAAUGUCAUGCUUACAACUGAGGAAAGCAGUCUGGGAUACUGAAGAAUUAGAGACGAAGAGUACACUCAGGUUGUUCUAGUGCUUGACUUAAUGUUCUAUUUCUGUGUGAUCCUGAGCAAACUACCUAAACUCUCAGAGCCUCAACUGCUCCAAGCGUGUCUAACAUCUUUUACAUCCACGUGAAACUACAUCAGCGACCACAAAAAAAGUUUAGGUAUGACUGAUAACACACAUUCCUUUUAAGAGCAGCACAUUAAUAGGAGUGGGGUGUGCUGGACUGAUUAUUAACAAAAAUGUGUUGUAAAUCCUAACCUCUAUGCCUGUGGUUAUAAUCCCAUUUCAAAACAGGUUGUCUGUGUUAGGUUAAUGACAGGAUUAGUGUAUGGUGUAUCUUGAGUUAAUCUCUUUUGAGAUACAGAGAUAAAAUAAGCAGGCAAGGAGAGAGAUGGUGUAAGAGAGAUGCCAAGACACAUGGAGAUAUCCAAGGACCCAGGAAGCAGAAGCUGAAGAGACAAAGACCUUUCUCCAGGGCUGACAGAGAAAGAACGCCUUCCCCUAGGGCCAACCAAACCAAAACCAAACUCGUUGCCCUGAAAUAGAUUCCAACUCAUAGCAACACUACAGAACACGGUAGAACUGUCCCAUACAGUUUCCAAAGAGCUGCUGAUGGAUUUGAACUGUUGACCUUUUGGUUAGCAGCCAUAGCUCUUAACCACUACACCCCCAGAGUCAGGCACCCUGAAUUCCUGUAGUCGCCUAAACUGUAAAAAAAUAAAUUUCUGUUUGUUAAAGCCACCCAUUUGUGAUAUUUCUGUUAUACCAGCACUAGAUAACUAGACAGUCACCUACCAGCAGCUUGGCCUUGGGAAAAAUACUUACCUUCCCCAAGUUUCCUCACCUAUGAAGACAUGGAUGACAAUCUUACAGGGCUGUUGUAAGGGUUGAGUGAAAUAAUGGUACUUACUUUGCGUGAUGGCUGGCACACAGUGAUAGUUCCAAAAUGAAAGUUAUUAUUAUUAACAUAAUCUCAUUAACACAAUGCCUUUAUUAAGGUACUAAUAGCAUAGUGCUCACAUGAAUAGCUUUGUUUAGCAGUCUUGUUUUUCUCACCAUUAAGUGAGGCCAAACUAUGACCGUGGUAUUAGAUAACUCCACAAGGUUUUAUUUUAUAUAUAUUCUUCUAUUCCCUUCCCUAUAACGUACGAUUUCAGACAUACUGCUGGAUCAUAAGAUGCUGAAAAAUUAUCACAAUGAUAUAUUUUGAAUUAUUCAGUCAUUAGUUUUAAUAUUUAUAAUAUAGAAUGGCUACUAGGCGCCAGAAUCUGUUCCAAAUUCUGAGAAUACAGCAGUGAGCAAGCCAGAAAAGAUCGCUGUUUUUAGGGAGCCCACAUUCCAGUGCAAGAAGAGUGAUGAUAAACAAGCAAACAAACAUGAUGAGAUCAGACAGUGAUAAGUGCUAUGAGGAAAAUUCAACAGGGAAUAGGAAUGAGGACUCCUGAGUUGUUGUCUUCUUCAGGCCGAGUGAUCAGAUACAGCCUAUGUUAUAAUCAGAGAAGGCCUUUCUGAGGAAGUGACAUUUACGCUGAGGUCUGAAUAUUAAGUGCCAGCCAUUUGAAGAUGUGGAAGAAGAACGUAAAUAUUGUAUAUAAAAAAUUAUUAUCUAUUAAUUCUUAUUCCAGCACUGACUCAGCAGCUCUUAAAAAACUUAGUUUGUUAUGGACUGAAUUAUGUCCCCCCAAAAUGUGCCAACUUCGCUAGGCCAUGAUUUCCAGUAUUGUGUGACUGUCCACCAUUUUGAUCACCUGAUGUGAUUUUCCUAAGUGUUCUAAAUCCUACCUUUAUGAUGUUAAUGAGGUGGGAUUAGUGGCAGUUAUGUUAAUGAGGCUGGACUCAAUCUACAAGAUUAGGUUGUGUCUUAAAUCAAUCUCCUGAGAUAUAAAAGAGACAAGCAAGCAGAGGGACAUGGGGACCUCAUACCACCAAGAAACAAGAGUCAGGAGAGUAGCUGGUCCUUUAGGCUGGGGAUCCCUGUGCUGAGAUGCACUUUGAUCAGGGAAGAUUGAUAACAAGGACCUUCCCCUAGAGCCGACAGAGAGCCUUCCCCUGGAGCUGGCACCCUGAAAUUGGACUUCUAGCCUCCUAGACUGUGAGAGAAUAAAUUUCUCUUUGUUAAAGCCAUCCAUUUGCGGUAUUUCUAUUAUAGCAGCACUGGAAUAACUAAGACAUAGUUGAUUUUCCCAAUUUAAAGGAAAGUGUAUUUGCUGAGAUCUUUCUUUUUCAAAUAUAUUGUGCAGAAUAAUAAGUUCUAUAUUUUUAAAAUAAAUUAUAUAUAAUGUUACCAGGAGGAAAUACAAGUGAAAACUUAUAUAAACUUGAGAUGGGUAAAUCCUUCUAAACAAGAUGCCAAGCAUUAAAAACAAAGGAAAAGAUUGAUAAAUUUGAUUGUUUUUAUAAAAAAGGUAAAAACGUUGAACAGCAAAAAAGUGUAACUAUAAAAAAACCACCAUAAAUAAGACUUGAAAACAAAUGACAAUCUGAAAAACACAUUUCCAACAUGUAUUAAGGAUUAAUAUUCUCACCAUUUAAAGAUAUAUUAAAUGACUACCACCAUUAAAAAACAAAAAAAAACCCUUCAACCCAAAACAGAAAAACCAGGCAAUAAUCAUAAAUAACUCACAAAUAUAAAUGGCCAGCACACUAUUAAAAAAAAAAAAAAGUUUAAUUACAUUAUGAAACAACUACAAUGGAAAAUGAUUUUUUGCUUAUCAAGAAUAGCAAAGAUGGAAAACAGUCACAAUAGUUGCAAAGUGUGGGGAAACUUGAACUCCUAUGUCCCAUUGGUAGAAGUGUAAAUGGGAAACUACUUAAAAUUUCAACAGUAAGAUGAUUAAGGGAAUUAUAGUCUAUGCCAACAGUGGUAUGAUGUUAUCAUCAAAAUGGUGGAGUACCUCUGACAAGCAAAGAUAUUUGUGAUGUACUGUUGAAUGUGCAGGUUGAAAGACAGCAUAUAUGGUAUGAUGCCAUUUAUGUAAAAUUAUGUUUGCACUGAUUGAGAAGUAUCUUUAUCAAAUAGUAACAGUGGUUAUCUAUGCACAGCAGAAUUUGGGUUUUUUUUUUUUUUUUGAGUAAGUAGGUAUUUACAGGUUUUCCUAUAAUGAACACAUACUUCUUUUUGUAACUGUCCCAAAUAGAGAUUUUUAAAAAGCUCACUGACUUGACUGUCAGCUAAAAAUUCAAAUACCAGAAACCAUUAGCAUGGCUUGAGUUCUCACUUUGCCAGACAAGGGAAAGCACUGUCUAGUAUUUAUGAAAAUAUUAUAAAGCUAAGAUUGUGGUCAACUCUAAUACUGUUUGUUGUUGCUGGGUAGUGUUGAGUUGGUUCUGAUAAUAGCAACCUUAUGUACACCAGAAUGAAACGUUGCCGAGUCCUACACCAUCCUCACAAUAGUUGCUAUGUUGAGCUCAUUUUUGCAGCCAAUGUGUCAGUCCAUCUCACUGAGGAUCUCCCUCUUUUCCACUGACCCUUUACUUUGCCAAGUAUGAUGUCCUUCUCUAGGAACUGGUCCCUCCUGAUUACACGUCCAAAGUAUGCAAGAUGAAGUCUCACCAUCUUUGCUUUUAUGGAUCAUUCUGGCUGUAAUUCCUCUAGGGCAGAUUUUGUCCAUUCUUCCGGCAGUCCACGGUAUAGUCAAUAUUCUUCACCAACACCGCAAUUCGAAUGCAUCAAUUCUUCUUUGGUCUUCCUUUUUUAUUGUCCAGCUUUUGCAUGCAUAUGAGGUGAUGGAAAAAACCAUGGCUUGGGUCAGGCUCACCGCAGUCAUCAAAGUAAUGCCUUUGCUUUUCAACACAUUAAAGAGGUCUUUUGAUAAAGAUUUUGCUCAAUGCAGUAAGUUAUCUGAUUUCUCGACUGCUGUUUCUAGGGACACUGAUUGCUGUCCCAAGAAAAAUGAAAACCCUGACAACUUUAAGAAUGCCCAAUUGAGGUCUUUCUUGUCAUUUGUAUUACCACUGUCAUUCAUUAUAUGCACAGAUGUAAAGCUAUGCAAAUACUUACAAAUUGGCAUUAUCUAAUUUUUAAGUCAAGCACCAUGGAAAACUUUCUACAUUUCUAAGCCAAGAACACUAUAUCAUCAACACUUUCUUCACAGAAGCAAUCUAGCAUAGCGGAAGGAGCAGGGCUUUUGAGUCGAUUAGCAGUGUACUGCUCCCAAUGGCUUUGUGUUUGUUUUGCAAUCUUGAGGAAGUUACUCAAAUUUUUUGUUUUCAUUUUCUGCAUCUACACAAGAGAUGGAGCAGUGUUUAAAAGCUUGGCUGCUAACCAAAAGGUCUGCAGUUCAAAUCCACCAGUUGCUCCUUAGAAACCCUAUGGGGCAGUCUGGAAUUGACUCAAUGGCACUGGGUUUUUUUUGUUUAUACAAGAGGUAACAGUACAUACCUCAUAUGGUUGCUGUGAUAUUUAAGGGUGAUGAAGUAAUUGCCUAGGACAAUGUCUGGCAGUUGUAGGUACAUAACAAAUGGUAGCUACUAUUGUUACACAAUUCCUAAGUGUAAGUAGUGGGCUGUGCCAGCUGAGCUUGUUGAGCUCAACUUGAGAAAGGCUGAGACCAAAUGUCAUCUCCCCCUCUCUUAAUGUUUAGGUGUUGCUGUGACAACGUAAUUUCAGACUUACAAAAAGUUGCAAGAUGAAAACAAAAACCUCAGAUACUCUUAACCUAGAUUCCCCAAACAUUAACAUUUUUCUACUUUUGCUUUACCCUCCUCUCUUUUUUUCUCAAUCAUUUAAGUUGCUGUGUGAACUUGCUGUAAAUAUUUCAGUGUUUAUUUCCUAAAAACAAAAAACUUUCUUAACAGUUAUUAAAAUCAGGAAGUUAAUAUAGAAAUAAUACUAUUACCUCAUCUAUAGAUCUUGAGGUUUUGUUCAAUGUCCUGAUGUAUUAUCCUUUAUAGCAAAAGAAUAUCCAGCAUUAUGCAUUGUACUCAGUUUCUUGUCUCUUUAGUCUCCUCUAAUUUGAAACAGUAUGAAAGCCUUUCUUUGUAUUUUAAAAGCUGACCAAUCUGAAGAGGCCAGUUAUUUUGCAGAAUGUCCCUAAUUUGGGUUUAUCUGAUGUUUCCUUAGGAUUAGAUUCAGGUUAUGCAUUUUUAAUAGGAAUAUCACAUAAGUGGUGCUAUAUAUUAUCAUAUUAAGGACACCUGUGUAUUGCUUAGUCCCAUUACUGGCAACGUUUACUCAGUAUAUUUCUUAAACCACAGCUGGAAUGAAAAGUUCUAUAAAGAGAAGGAAGUUUCUUUCCUUUCCCCUAUCUUACCUACUGCCAUAUACUUAAACAACCUGGUCAAGAAAAUCAUCCAAACUGAAUCAGACUGGAUGUAACUUAUAACCUUUCCCAGGACCUAUACAAGUCACUUUAUUAAUGUUAGGGAAACAUUUUCUCUGAAACAGCAUCAACCACCCAAAAACAAGCCUACAAAUGAUCCAAUUCUUAGAGCAGUAUCUUUAAAGGGCUGGGGAAAAAAAAAAAAAUUGACAACCCAGAAUUUUGUGCUCAACAAACUCUUUUCAAAAUGGAA